ensembl:lncRNA
GUGCGGCCCCGGGGCGAAGCCGAGCUGCGGGGAGCGGGUCCGGGAGUGCGAGAUGGAGAGCUCCAAGUGGAGUGGCAGAAGUGAUCGCUGCCCUCCAUACGCUCAGCGCUCCCCGUGCGUUGCGCGCCGCGGUUGUCCGGAGGUCUCAUUGUAGCGCUGUAAUCGUUUGCACUUGAUUAAGCGUACCGUGGGCAGAGCACCGAAACCCCCACGGCUGCGGCACGGGGGAUGCGUGGCGUGGCGCUUUAAUCCCGUGCCUCGAAAGCUAUGGGAGAAGCGGGAGGAACGCGAGCCGGUGGCGGCCGGGCAUAAAGAACUGUUGUUCUGUACAGAUGGUGGCUCAGCGCCGCGAGUGGGACCGCACCGACCGCCCCGAUCGGGGGAAAGGCGCCUACUUCGGAGUUUGGUUAAGCGGAGCCAAUGAAAUAAUGACGGCCGAGGUGCCGGGUGACAAAAUGCUUUUGUUCCCGUUUGCGGCGGUGCGUGAGGGCGCAGACCUGCUUUAGCAUUCCUUGAAGGUCUCUUUAGCGAGGAAAAUUGGAGAUGGUCUCAUUAUGGGAGAGUGUGUGCAGAAUGCUAUGAGGUCUUUAUGGAUGCAGAGGUGAUGGUUGAGUCGCAGGCGUUUCAGUUGCACAUCUGGUAGCGAAAAGAAAAUAAUUGUUCGUGUUUGUGGCUGUGUGCUCCGUGCUUUGCACGGGGGCGGGUUGUCCCCACGCCUUGGGGUGGGUUUGUCCGCAGGGCUCGGAGCUGAGACUGAGAUCGUGGUGUUUGCAACGGCAAAACUUUGUGCUGCUGCAAAAGCGGCGGUGUGUGGAAUGUCGGGGGGUGGGAAGCACGGCGCUGCGAGCAGUGGGCUGUGCCCUGGGGGAGCUGCUUGUGUGCGGUGUGGGCACACCUGGGAGCAUCCAGCCGGGCCCGCAGCUGGAACCCCGUAGGGCUGCAGCCCCGCAUGUCCCAACACAGAGCCGGGAGGCACAGCUGCACCCCUGUGCUCAUCACGCUUCUCCAGACUGGGAAGUGCUUAAAGCAGUUCCCAGCAGUGAAAAGUGCCAUCUGUAACGCUGUCGGCUCGCUGUGCCACCAGGUUCCAGUGCUCAUAAUCCUCCUGGUGGGGAGGACGUUAGCCUCGGAGACGGUGUCCCUGGGAUGGGCUGGGAACGGUGCAUGCAAACCUCCAGCUGGGAGAUUCCGUGUGCUGUCAGCUGGCUGCGGUGCAGGCAGAGCUGCUGGAGCUCUGCUGGCUUUGGGAUACGCACGGUGACCUAAAGUUGGGGCUGUGCCUGCCCAGAGUUUGGGGAAAAGUGGAUGAAUUCCCACUGGAAGUGCACGGGUUGUUCUCUGGGCGCCGCUUCGGGCUGUGAGGAUGGGAAGUGGCUUUGUGUUUAAGCAGAAGAAAUGGGGAUGGUCCUCUGAAAGCUGCACUGCUGCUGAUCUGUGAGUGUUCUGUUAGAAUCUGGUGCAUGAUGCUGUCGUACAGAGUCUGAUAGGAGUCACAUUUACUCUUCGCAGAGGAUGCAGCAAGGAUUCCCUGGCUCUGUGUUCUGGCUGUGGUUAGAGAGGGGGGAGCGGAGCAGAGCUGCUAUGAGGAGCUCCUCGGAUCACGGCGGUUGCACCUGCAGGAGAAGUUUGGGGGCUUUCAGCAUACAGAGCUGUUACAGCCCCCCUAUACUGAACUCACCCACGCUGUGACCCGGCACGUUGCCCAGGGCUGAGGGCUCUCCCUGCUCCAGGGGUGCUGGGAGUCUCAUUCUAUGCACUCCUCUCACCCGUGUGACCCUUCCUUCUGCCCCUCGUGUUUGGGUUUUGUUCCUUCUGACCGUGAAAAUAAAGACCAGUUGUAGGUGUAAGGAUGAAUAACGACGUGUGCAUCCCUUGCCUGCUGAGGGUGGGGAUGCCAGACUUCGCAGCACUCUGCUUUUGCUCGCCCCCCCCCAGCGAGCAGCUCCAGCCCUUGGCACCUCGCAGCCCACACCAGGAGGGCCCCGCUGACAUCUGCUGUGACGCCAGCAGAAGUUUUUGGUUGCUGCCGCUGUUAAUUCAAUCAUCGCCGCCGCUUCCCCAGCGUGCCCCCAUUUGCACCCUGUGCGCUGAUGGUGUCGGAGCCAGGAGUUGUUUCCAUGGGAUUAUAACUGUCUGCUCUGUAAUUAUUUUUCUUGGAUUUUUUUUUCUUCCUAUCUGGGUUGUUAAUCGUGGCAGGACGUCGUGUUUGGGCAGCGGGGGGCUGAGUUGGCAAAGGGAGAGUGGAGCCUUUCCCAGAGCAGAGGUGCCGGACAGGGAGAGCAGUGGGAACCUGCUGGCAAACUUGGUGUGUUUGUUUUCUUCUUUUUUUGUAUUCUCUGGGUUAUGUUAUUGGUAAAGUCGCUGGGAUUAUUAAAAACCCAACAGCUGGAAUAGCAGGAGGGGGGAAAAACGCAUGAUGGAGAGAGGCAGUGUGACUCUCCAUCCACACCCAUGUGUCCCCACUGGGGAUGGAUGCUGGGGGAGGUGCGGGGAAAGCCCCCCUCCCCCAGAGGAAGGAGGUUUCCUUUCCAUCGCAGCAGAAUAUCUCUGGUAGCACGUGGUGAUGCCAGAGCUGCUUUCAGGUUGGAGAGUGGCUCUGGGUAGUUCAGCCUCGCUCUUCGGAUGCGUCGUGGGCUGGGUGGAUCUUGGCACGGCUGAGAGCAAGCGCUGCUCUGGGACUUCACAGCAAAGUGCCAAUAAAAACCCAGUGAACUCAAAGAGAUCAGUAGCAGGUUUUAAUUAUUAAUGACUUCUGCUCCUCCAGCUCUAUCAGGCAGUAAUUUGGUGUGUGCUUUAAGCCAACAAAACCCAGCAGUCCUACUGCAAGCUGCUCGCUUCUGGGCUUUUCUUACUCAUCGUUUUGCAUGGGGGCACAAAGGGUUGCAGGGCUGGAAGUCACACUUCAGUUGUGAGGCUCAGUGAGUUCGGGGUGAAACUGUUUCAGUUCAGCGCAUGGGAAAAUUCUUUCGCCAGCUUUUGUGAUCUGAAGCUGCCUGCAGUUUCGUGAUCCUGCAGCACAAAGUGUGCGCCAGUUUUCUUUACCACGUGUCGAGAUUAGCAGCACUUCUUGUGCAACGAACGGCUCGGUGCAGGCUUCAAACCGAGGGGUAAGGGCUCCGUGAGGUCCAUAGCAGAGUACCGGCGCUGAUUUCAGCUUUCCCCUUUGGCAGCAAUGAUAACAGGAUUUCUCAGGUGAAAUACCUGUGCUGCCCACCCAUCCCAAAGGGAAGGAGGGCUCUGUGGUCAGGAGGGGCUGUGUGGUGUGCUGGGCUCAGCUGCAGUGCGGGAUGCAGAGCGGCAGCAGGGUGGUGUUCCAGGGUUGUGUUCAGCCAAAAGUUCAGUGCAUUCCUUGGCUUUGUGCUUUGUCAGCAUGGCUGUGUGCAGGCUCACACCCCACCUAGGUGCCCUGUGGUUGUUCCCAGAGGAUUUCAGCAGAAGGGAAAGGCAUGGGUGGUGAUGGGCAGGAGUCAAAGUGUGGCGAGAGAGGUAAAGGAAUGCAGGGAGAAGCUGUUGCCAGUAGUGAUGAGAACAGCAAACAGCUUCUGUAACACAUCAGCUGUGGAACUAGGUUAUGGGAUGAGGUUAAUGGAAAAGACCCAAACGUUACCUUUUGUUGAUGGGUGAUCUGAUAUGUGUAAUCCCGUUAUGUCCCUGAUAUGAGUGAAUGCUGAACAGCAACUGCAGCAGCUGGAGCUCAGAAAGUGGGCUCUGGGAGCAGUGCUGAGUGCCCGUGUUCCUCCAACAGCCGGAGCAGUGGAGCUCCCAGCAGGCUGCAGCAGCACUCGCUGUGUGUAGGGUGGGAGAGGAAUAAACAGGACGGACUGAUCAUCCCAACCUGCGAGGCCGGGCACACGGCUCACUCAGUGAAGAAGGGAAGGAGAGCGACGCGCCUCACCUCUAUCAGUGUGAGUUUGGGGACAUCAGAUCCUUUGCAGUUAACUUUUUUUUCCCCACUUCAAGAGCUGUUGUUGAGAAAGGUGAGCAUUUUGGUUCAAGCGAAAUUCUGGAAGAAGUUCAGCUUGCUGCAGCACCAUGUUUUUGCUGGGGGUGGGCAGAGCAGUGGCUGCGGGCUGGAGGAGACGUGGUGUCCCUGUCCCCAUCCCCGUCCCCAUCCCUGUCCCCGUCCCCAGUGUGCCAGGACACGGUGGCCUUCUGGAAGGCCCUCAGAGUGCUGCCCGGUGAGCGGUGAGGCUUUGCAGCGAGGAGUCCAGGAGCUCGAUCCGCUUCGCUUAGCCGGAGUGUUGGAAGGUAAAUUGAUUAAGGCAAUUAGCGUUGUCAUGGGGAAAAUAAAUUGAAUAAAGAAGAGCUCUUGGGUCUAGCAGGUGGAGUUUUAACAGGAUCCAAUAGCUGGAAGGUGGAGCGAGAGAAGGGCUGGAAUUAAGGUCCACAGCUCGCUGCUGAAGGUGACGGAUGCUGGAAGGGCCCACUGAAGGUGCUGGUAGUUCCUCUGCCUUUGUAAAGGCUGAAUUCAGGAGUGCUCAUUUAUUGAAGUGAAGGAAGCUCAAGCAGGGAUUAAUUAGCAAGUUACCAUGCAGUGUGCCGAGCAGGGAUUAAUUUAGGUAAGCUGCCACGCCGUGUGUUAGGCUGGAAAAUCCCAGAGGUUUCUUUUGGCCUCAAAAUCUCUGCAAUCCAUGGAAGCCCACCGUUUAAAUACGAGCGCCCAGGUGUUUGCACAUCACAGGGGCCGGCACUGUAGUUCUGCUUCUGGAGGAUGGGUUGCAGAGAGGAGACCUCUGUCUGAAGGUGGAGUUCUCAGGCUGAGCCCUUUGGAGUGUUGAGGCUUAGGAUCACUGUAUGGUUUGGGUUGGAAGGGGCCCGUGAAGGUCACCUCGCGCAACCCCCUACAGGGGAUUCGUUUCUCACUGUUGCUUUAACAAUUCCUUGUGCCCAUCACAGCAAGGAGUAACAUAGCACUGAGGGAAGAGGUGAGCCAGGGCCAUGUUAGCCCCAGCUGUGGCUGGUAGUUGGGUCAGGUUUGAGUGCAUUGAGGCAGAGGGAGGAAACGAAGGAGGGUUGCUUAUUUUCAUUGUGUGCUUUAUCUGCUUGUACGGAACUUAUUCAAACUCUCCAUCUCCUCCGGGUGGCUGUGGCACUUCAGGAAUAAGCCCAGCCCUGGUGGGAGCCUUCUGAGUGGGGGAGCACGAAUGAGAGCACAAACAAGUGAUCAAAACAGGUCCAAGCCAGGUUUGGCAGGCAAUUAUGCACUGCUCGUGUUGUGUUGGAACGCAGCAGAGUGUUUGCAUGCAGUUUUGUUUUAGAGACCAAGCACAAGGAAGGAGCAAGCGGAGCUCGAGGCAGAGGGCUACAAGCCGUGGUUGAUUUGAUGCACGGUUGUUUCUAUUAGGAUGGAGGUGGGAGGGUUUGGGGGUUACCCCAUGUUUCAUGUGUGCAGCGUGGUUCCCGCGGUGCCCCGCAGCGCUCCCUUCCAUCAGCACCUCAUGCUAACGAGUGUUGCUGGUGAAGAAUGAAGAGUGCAUCAUCAAGCAGUGAACUCAGCUUUAUUUCAGGCAGGAAUGUGUGGCACAGUGCCUCCACACACUCCAAAGUGCUCCACUUGCCCUUUUGGAGGAUCGAUACUGGCGGUAUGCAUGCCGGCUCCUGUGAGUUUGCCUGAGUUCCCGGGGGACUGCUUUGCUUUUUGAAUCAGAAAGUUGGAAACUACCAUCAAGAAUGGCACUUGUAGAUAAACACAAAGUCAAGCGGCAGCGACUGGACAGAAUUGUGAAGGUAAGAGGAUAUUCCGGCAUUCCUAUGAAAGUUGACGGACUGUUGUAGUAGAAUUACUUCACUUGUCCUUGUUUUUUACAGCACUUAGAAACUGAGAUCCAGGUCCAUGGCUACAUCUCCCAUCUUCUGGGUUGACACAAACUACAGUCGUAUUGGUGUUGAAGUAUUGGCAAGGGACACACUGAUUCCACUCAUUCCUCCCUACAGUCGUGUUCACAGACUGUUUAAUUACUCAGUGCCAUGUCCCACACCUCUGGUAUGAACCCUGCCCUGCUGCCCUUGGGGUGUUUGGGUAAAGCUCAGGGUUCUCCACUCCCACACAGCCACUGCUCUCCUUCUUAAGGCUUUGGCAAGGCAGAGAUUUGGUUGUCUCAUAGCUGCUGCUUUGUGGAUAUGGAAGUUGACCAUUUCUCAUAACAGUGAAUAUCUUUGGAAAAUGGUUGGAAAGUCACAAAUAGUUCUUGAAGUAUAUUGGAGUUGAAACUUGAUGAUCCCUGAGGUCCCUUCCAGCCCAAGCCAUUUGUGAUUCUGUGAUAGUUUUGGAACAGAUUGUUAGAAAG